rnacentral:other from 1 species
AUAUCCCUGCAGUGCCCGUUAGGAGGAAAAAGAAGCGGUGAACCAACACCUUUUUGAAGGGAGCUUAACUUCCUUGGCACCGUGGUGUUAAGGAGAGAGCACCCACUUUAAAAAAGACGGUUCAUAUCCUAUCGCCUCCAACGGCACGCGCGGGGAUUUU